ensembl:lncRNA
CUCUUCCAUGUGCAUUUACUGAUACUCUCACUACUCAUGAAUAUUUCUGAGAACAGUGUGCUCGGCACCGUGCUGCCUCUUACUAGUUUCGAGAACGUGCUCGUGUUUCUCUUUAAUAUAAUUCUCGCCACCGCCAUAAUUUUUAUUAACGUCUCCGUGUUUGUCGCCAUCGUGAUGAACAGAUCCCUGCGCAGCGAGAACCGCUUCAUGUACAUGCUCAGCACGUGUCUCAGUGACAUCUGCACGGGCGUCUCGUAUUAUUAUUCUGGAGUUAUGGAUGUACGCGAUGAUUUUGAGUCUCCGCAUCGCACUUUCUACAUUGUUCUCACUUUUCUGGGUCUGUCCUAUAUGGCGAUUCUGGCCGCGCAAGCGGACCGCUACCACGCGGUCUCAGCGCCUUUCAAAUACUCGCAGCGCAUGACUCGAAACAGAACCCUGCUGGUGAUUCUGGCCUACUGGGUUUAUGCUUUUAUUUUAGUGGCUGUUUAUAAUUUGUUGACUACGGGGAUCACUAAGGCGGUGGCGGGCUUGGGUACUUUUGUGGCAAACAUUUUUAGUGUCAUUAUCAUGAUUGGCUUGAAUUUAAGGCUGUUUGUCAUCGCCAAAUUUCAGCUAGAACGCGAACCCCCGAGCGAGGAACGCGACAACAAGCGCGCGUCCAUUUAUCUCAUCAUAAUAGUAGCCGUGUGUUUUCUGAUUGCAUGGCUACCGUGGUUUCUUUUUAUGACUGUGUGUACUUUUAGAGGAGGUUCGUGUUAUUUGUUUAGAAAUGACGGCACAGACCCCCUGCGCAUUCUGGCGCGCGUCAAUGCGCUUAUCACUCCUUUACUGUACAUCAGAGGCUGUACUCCACUCAGGAGCACCAUAAUGAUUAAAGUCUGGAGAAUACCAUGCUGCAAGAGUAAAGGAGUGAAGCCACAGAAUAUGGAGAAGACUUUAGACUAGAUGUAGCAGGGAUCUUCAGGAUGUGACAAUCUUCGAGUGGCAGGACUUUUAAAGAGACUUUAAGGAUACACUGCCUGGCCAAAAGAAAAAAAAGUUUCCAUUUGGAUUUAAAUAAGCAAAUGCUUAAGAUUUCAUGACUGGAUCAUUAUUGCAGUGAAUAAUGUUUCUAGCAUGUGGUUCACAACAAUUAUUUUAACCCUAAAUGAUGCAAUAUGCAGCGUUUUAUUUCUUAAACAACCAUGUUGGAAGAUGUAUUUCAUGGCCAUAUUUUAGGAUGAUGAUGCCAGGAUUCAAUCGCUCAAACUGUAAAAUAUGGUUCAGGGAACAUGAGGAAUCAUUUUCACACAUGAAUUGGCCACCACAGAGUCCUGAGCUCCACUGAAAAUCUUUGGAUGUGCUGUAGUCGAUUUUACAGAGUGGUUUAACUCUCCCAUUGUCAAUACAAGAUCUUUGCCGAAAAAUUAAUGCAACUUUUAAAGGAAAUACAUUUUGUGAUGUUGCAUAAGAUUUUUGAAACCGUGGCAUGAUAAAUGCACAAAAGGCACUGCAUUUACAAAAUAUUACAGCAUGCAACAACCUUUUUUUUUUUUGGCCAGUGUAUAUUUAAAUAUUCAGUAGACAUCUGUGAAUCUAAAACACACAAGUUAAAGCUUACUCUGUGAACAGUUUCAUGUCCCUGUCCUUUUUCCCACUUGAUAUAUCUGUUGUAUCUUCAAAUAGCAUUUAAUAGAGCAAAUGUAUUAUUGCUUAUGCGUCUUAAUUUGACCUUCUUAGGAAGUAACUUAUUGAAAGCAGAUGAAUUAUAUAAAGUGCCAAGAUGACAUUUUGUUUCAGAAAUCUGUACUGUAUGUACAAGCUAAGACUGAUGAGUGAUUUUUUUUUGUAUCUAUAUAUGUAGGCUAUUCAAAGACAAGUUCCCUUUCAUCCACUGUUGUUUUUAUUGGCCUGUGUAAAUUAAAGUUUGAUAACCAUUUAAAACGUUAAUUUAAAUUGAUUGCUUUUUUAUUUAAUGUGUAGCACAAAUAGUUAAAAACCUUUCCUAAUUUCUGUAAAGUUCCUGUUCAUCAAAAACCUUUCACAAACCUGUUGACCAACACUCUGCAUUUACCUCAGAUUAUAAACUGCUUUCUUACAUCAUAAAUAACUGACAAAUAAAACUGCGUAUGCAUGAAGUCUUUAAAUUAGU